UACAGACUCCUACGGGAGGCAGCAGUGAGGAAUAUUGGUCAAUGGGCGGAAGCCUGAACCAGCCAAGUCGCGUGAGGGAAUAAGGCCCUACGGGUCGUAAACCUCUUUUGCCGGGGAGCAAGGGCGGGGACGUGUCCCGGCCCGGAGAGUACCCGGAGAAAAAGCAUCGGCUAACUCCGUGCCAGCAGCCGCGGUAAUACGGAGGAUGCGAGCGUUAUCCGGAUUUAUUGGGUUUAAAGGGUGCGCAGGCGGGAGAUCAAGUCAGCGGUAAAAUGUCGGGGCUCAACCCCGGCCGGCCGUUGAAACUGGUUUUCUAGAGUUGGAGAGAAGUAUGCGGAAUUCGUGGUGUAGCGGUGAAAUGCAUAGAUAUCGCGCAGAACUCCGAUUGCGAAGGCAGCAUGCCGGCUCCACACUGACGCUGAGGCACGAAAGCGUGGGUAUCGAACAGGAUUAGAUACCCCCGUA
rnacentral:rRNA from 1 species